rnacentral:rRNA from 1 species
AUACCCUAUUAUUUUUAUAGUAAAAUUUGAGCUAAAGUAUUAGUAGUUAUGAUCUUAAAACUUAAAGAAUUUGACGGUAUUAUAGUCUAUUUAGAGGAAUCUGUUACGUAAUUGAUAAUCCACAUUGAACCUUACUUAUAUUAUUUCUUGUAUAUCGCUGUUUGAGAAUAUUUUUUUAGAAAAUUUUCUAAAUUUAUUAUUAAUUAAAAUUUCAAGUCAAGGUGCAGUAAUAUAUAAGUUGAAUAAUGGAUUACAAUAAAUUUUAUUUAUUAUGAAUAAUUAUUAGAAAAGUUAAUUUGAAGGUGGAUUUAAAUGUAAUUUUAUAAAGAUUAUUAGAAUGAUUAAUGGCUCUAUAGUAUGUACACAUCGCCC